rnacentral:rRNA from 1 species
GUCCCAGUUCGGAUUGUAGUCUGCAACCCGACUACAUGAAGCUGGAAUCGCUAGUAAUCGCGGAUCAGAAUGCCGCGGUGAAUACGUUCCCGGGUCUUGUACACACCGCCCGUCACACCAUGGGAGUCGGAAAUGCCCGAAGACUGUGACCCAACCAUUAAGGAGGGAGCAGCCGAAGGCAGGUCGGAUGACUGGGGUGAAGUCGUAACAAGGUAGC